CACCUGAUGAGCAGCCCUCGAAGGACAGG
rnacentral:sRNA from 1 species